GACGAACGCUGGCGGCGUGCUUAACACAUGCAAGUCGAACGGUGAAGGGACCGGUUUUUGCUGGUUCUGGAUGAGUGGCGAACGGGUGAGUAACACGUGAGUAACCUGCCCCCUUCUUCUGGAUAACCGCAUGAAAGUGCGGCUAAUACGGGAUAUUCUGCGCCUGCUGCAUGGUGGGUGUGGGAAAGAUAUUGUUUCGGUGGGGGAUGGGCUCGCGGCCUAUCAGCUCGUUGGUGGGGUGAUGGCCUACCAAGGCGGUGACGGGUAGCCGGCCUGAGAGGGUGGACGGUCACACUGGGACUGAGACACGGCCCAGACUCCUACGGGAGGCAGCAGUGGGGAAUAUUGCACAAUGGGCGCAAGCCUGAUGCAGCGACGCCGCGUGAGGGAUGGAGGCCUGCGGGUUGUAAACCUCUUUCGCCAGUGAAGCAGGCCUGUCCCUUUUGUGGGUGGGUUGACGGUAGCUGGAGAAGAAGCGCCGGCUAACUACGUG
rnacentral:rRNA from 1 species